AGACUAAUCAUCGUGUGUCCUUCGUUCCUGCAGCUACUCCCGGACUGUUACGCCUACCUGCUGUCAGAGAAGGUUGUGGGCGGCCCCUCCAUUCCAUCCGUCAAACACGUGAGGUGGUCGGGACAUCAGCGUGGUGCCGGGUGUCUGGGGUGGCUACACGUACCAUCCACUGCUGACACUGAAGAAUUGAAAGGAUUGGUUGGAAAGUGAGCGCCGAGGGCUGGACUACGAGAUUAGAGAUGGGGUGGAGCUUUACUGUAACAUGAAUGAGUGGGAAUAGGAGGGUGGACUGAUCGUCCUCUCUGCUCGCGUAUAUAAGAGUCGAACUUUCUACCCAACGCACACGAGAGGGAACAACGGUUACGAGAAACAGUAAUUGUUACAGCCAAUACUCACACGGUUAACAUUGUCUAUCGUACAGCUCAAUCGUGUGGAGGACACUCGUUAUCUUCUCCAGUGGUAAUAUAGAGGAAAGGCGACUUAACUGUGACCAGAGGACGAAACAAUUACCAAGUGCAUUAACACGUUCAGAGGGCCACGUGGUGGUUUUGAUAUCAGCAGACCUUCUGACAACAACAAGGUCUAAGGUAUUGUACGAUCUCUACAGAACACCGACAGUCGAAGGUGAGGAACAGGCUGACCGUUGACCUUACCACGGAUCACAAAGUCCUGACCACUGUCCAUGACCAAUAUGAGUCCUACUAACCCCACUUUAACAGCGAGCUGCAGUCCUCGUCAGUGUCGUGCAGCACUUGUCGCACUACUGCUGCUGGCGUUGCCGUUGAUGCGGGGGACGGAUGCAGCAAUUUGUACCUGCGUCAAUGGGGGCACGGAAAUUACCACCGGAGGCAACUACUAUACUUCCUGUUAUUGUCAAUGUUCACGACAGUUCUCCGGGCCACGAUGUGAGUACCGCACCUUGUACAUGGAGUUAAGUAAUUUAAUACGCCACGCACAAUUUAUAGAAGAGCGACGACGAAACCAGACAAGACAGGGACGGACAACGCGGAUGAUGAGUCUGAAGACCGGCCGGGAGAAGAUUGGAGGGCUCGUGAAAGGAUAAACACCUCAGUCCGAAUUAUUGACAGCACAAGCCAGCAAAAUACCAAUAUCCUGGAUGAGUUCUCAUGUUUUUGCCAACGACACCGAGAAGCGGCAACAGCUUUGUUGACAUCAACUGUCGACAGUGAAUAAUAUAGGCAACGGUGUCUGUGAUGAAGACAUGUUGAACUGAAAAUGUCAAUAUAAGAGUUAUCCAUCUUGA